GAUGAACGCUGGCGGCGUGCCUAAUACAUGCAAGUCGAGCGAACAGACGAGGAGCUUGCUCCUCUGACGUUAGCGGCGGACGGGUGAGUAACACGUGGAUAACCUACCUAUAAGACUGGGAUAACUUCGGGAAACCGGAGCUAAUACCGGAUAAUAUAUUGAACCGCAUGGUUCAAUAGUGAAAGACGGUUUUGCUGUCACUUAUAGAUGAAUCCGCGCCGCAUUAGCUAGUUGGUAAGGUAACGGCUUACCAAGGCAACGAUGCGUAGCCGACCUGAGAGGGUGAUCGGCCACACUGGAACUGAGACACGGUCCAGACUCCUACGGGAGGCAGCAGUAGGGAAUCUUCCGCAAUGGGCGAAAGCCUGACGGAGCAACGCCGCGUGAGUGAUGAAGGUCUUCGGAUCGUAAAACUCUGUUAUUAGGGAAGAACAAAUGUGUAAGUAACUAUGCACGUCUUGACGGUACCUAAUCAGAAAGCCACGGCCAACUACGUG
rnacentral:rRNA from 1 species